GAUCCAACCACGUAUGCAACAGCCCACCGCCUUUCAAUUGAAUUUAUCUCUGUCAACACUACACCUGCACAUACUCAUUCUCCCUCCUCUACUCAUUGGUGUCCUCCCCUUCCUGGGAAGUUGAAACUGAAUGUGGAUGGCGCUUGUAGUACUUCUGUUUGGAAGCGUGGAUUGAGGGCAGUUGUCAGAAAUGUGCAUGGAGAUCUUAUGGGUGCAAUUUCAGUCCCUAUCACUGGAUGUUUCACUGCCAAGAUUACUGAACUCUUAGCAAUUCGGGAAAGCCUUCAGUUUGCAUGGGAGGCCGGCUACGACUCAUUAGUCGUUGAGACAGAUGCCAAGAAUGCCAUUAACGACAUUGUCUAUGGCACUGAGGCUUUUGGGGUUGCAGGAGGGAUUAUCAACGACAUCCACAUGUUAUCUAGAAACUUUGUUUCACUUUCUUUUGUAUUUGUUCCCAGAUUGUGUAAUACUGUGGCUGAUAGACUUGCUAAGUUUGCUUUAGGUAGUUUGUCCAGAGACAUUUGGCUUGAAUAA
rnacentral:lncRNA from 1 species